rnacentral:rRNA from 2 species
UUAUACGGCGAAACUGCGAAUGGCUCAUUAAAUCAGUUAUCGUUUAUUUGAUAGUACCUUAUUACUUGGAUAACCGUGGUAAUUCUAGAGCUAAUACAUGCUAAAAAGUCCCGACUCACGGAGGGAUGUAUUUAUUAGAUUAAAAACCAAUGCCCCUCGGGGCUUGUAGGUGAUUCAUGAUAACUUCUCGAAUCGCAUGGCCUUGCGCCGGCGAUGGUUCAUUCAAAUUUCUGCCCUAUCAACUUUCGAUGGCAGGGUCUUGGCCUGCCAUGGUUUCAACGGGUAACGGAGGGUUAGGGCUCGACCCCGGAGAAGGAGCCUGAGAAACGGCUACUACAUCCAAGGAAGGCAGCAGGCGCGCAAAUUACCCAAUCCCGACACGGGGAGGUAGUGACAAUAAAUACUGAUACAGGGCUCUUUUGGGUCUUGUAAUUGGAAUGAGUACAAUUUAAAUCCCUUAACGAGGAACAAUUGGAGGGCAAGUCUGGUGCCAGCAGCCGCGGUAAUUCCAGCUCCAAUAGCGUAUAUUAAAGUUGUUGCAGUUAAAAAGCUCGUAGUUGAACCUUGGGCCUGGCUGGCCGGUCCGCCUCACCGCGUGCACUGGUUCGGCCGGGCCUUUCCCUCUGGGGAGCCCUAUGCCCUUCACUGGGUGUAGCGGGGAACCAGGACGUUUACUGUGAAAAAAUUAGAGUGUUCAAAGCAGGCAUAUGCUCGAAUACAUCAGCAUGGAAUAAUAGAAUAGGACGUGUGGUUCUAUUUUGUUGGUUUCUAGGACCGCCGUAAUGAUUAAUAGGGACAGUCGGGGGCAUCAGUAUUCAAUUGUCAGAGGUGAAAUUCUUGGAUCUAUUGAAGACUAACUACUGCGAAAGCAUUUGCCAAGGAUGUUUUCAUUAAUCAGGAACGAAAGUUAGGGGAUCGAAGACGAUCAGAUACCGUCGUAGUCUUAACCAUAAACUAUGCCGACUAGGGAUCGGACGAUGUUAUUUUUUGACUCGUUCGGCACCUUACGAGAAAUCAAAGUCUUUGGGU